AAUGGAUUACCAUUGUGACACUGUUGCUAUGCAACUUUCAACCAUACUUUGUAUCCAGAGAGGAGCAUCCGUGGUGCUGAGGUUGGUCAGGUUGCACAGACGAAGAUGGUGGUGGCAUGCCAUUGCCGGGCGCUCAUGGAACCUGUGGGGCAUGUGGCAUGCCAUUGCCGGGCGCUCAUGGAACCUGUGGGGCAAACAUGCCCCAUCAAGCCACUAGCUAGUGUCAUGCUUGCUACCCAACCAUUGCAAUAUGGUGUUGGCUAUAAUUCUUCUUGUCACAUCCCACAAGUUUGGAUGAUAAAUAAAACUUGGGAAAUGAUGUACGAACUAAAA
rnacentral:lncRNA from 1 species